rnacentral:rRNA from 1 species
AACUUAAAUGAAUUGACGGGACCCGCACAAGCAGUGGAGCAUGUGGUUAAUUCGACGCUACGCGAAGAACCUUACCAGGGCUUGACAUCUGGUUAAAUACCCUAGAAAUAGGGGGAUAGUUAUAGCCAAGACAGGUGGUGCAUGGUUGUCGUCAGCUCGUGUCGUGAGAUGUUGGGUUAAGUCCCGCAACGAGCGCAACCCUUGUCCUUAGUUACCAUCAUUCAGUUGGGGACUCUAAGGAGACUGCCGAUGUAAAUCGGAGGAAGGUGGGGAUGACGUCAAAUCAUCAUGCCCUUUAUGUCCUGGGCGACACACGUGCUACAAUGGCCGGUACAAAGAGACGCCAACCAGCGAUGGUGCGCAAAUCUCAAAAAGCCGGUCUCAGUUCAGAUCGAAGUCUGCAACUCGACUUCGUGAAGGCGGAAUUGCUAGUAAUCGCGAAUCAGCCAUGUCGCGGUGAAUACGUUCCCGGGGUUU